UGGAAGGUAUUGAACAUACAUACUGUGAACAUUAUGGCCUUUUAAACACUGACUGUGUCGUAUGUAAAUGCCGCCUUCUUUUCUAUUUGUUUCUUUUAGGUUGCCAUCAGGAAACAGGCCAGUCUGGAAUCUUGUACUGUUUCUAUACUAUUCACAUCAUCUUCACUGCACUAUGUUAGACUAACACUUUGGUCUAUAUCCGUCAUUCUUUAUAGGAAGGACAGCCCAAGCAGAUCAAGAGACCCACCAGUCGAGGAGGGCAAUGGCACAGGAGAAAAUCUAAAGACAAGGGGCCAACGGGCGGGUUGAGUUCUUCAACAACCAUCACAGACAGCCGAAACACCCCAAAAAGAUGUGACCACUAUAAAGAGGAGGCAACAUACUGAAUACGGAAACUACCAUGACCAGCGUCUAGACAGGCAUCAUCCACUACAAGCAUCUAGACGUCCAGUUGCUUGCAUCCUUAUACCCAGAAAAGGGGGCGAAACCAGCGGGUAUGUACCAUUAUGCGCAUUGUGGUCACCCGUCGAGUCGGGGUCUACAUGCACUGUCUGGCCUCCCUCCCUGUGCAGAGCACAGGGUGCGAGCCUCCGGUACAAAUACCCCUUUCGGUGACUUUUGCCCACACUUCAUUCAUCCAUCCAUACCCUCUAAUGGCAACAACGGACUCAAUCAUGCAUCUGCGCUUGUGUGCAGUAUAGUGGAGUUCUGUUACCAUGGCUGCAGGGAUGCAGGCUCGUUAUUGGCCCUGCGAUGAACGAGUCAAUUCACACGCAUGCGCAUUGCCUUUCUUGACUGUACUAGAUGCCGGAAGUACGACCGGCGUCCCAUGCUACUUCAGCAGCAAUUAUACAGACGUCUUACAUGGUAAUUACAUACUGUGCUUUUGAUUGAUUCAUUUAUGAUUUGCCUCCUUCUUUUUUAUACUAUCACUGUAAUCACAAUACCUGACCGUAAUUGAUGCUGAGCACUAUUUAGUGCAAAGUAUCCUAGCUAUUCACACUGUAUAAGUGUUGCACAAAUGCACCUUUAUUAAUGCACUUUAUUAAUGUGUUUUUCAAAAUAUGAUUGUAACCACUUAUGUUCACCUUGUUAAACAAUUAACUUGAUGUAUAUCUUAUGUAUAAAUACUCUGUGAUUUCCACUGGUUGUUGAGCUUGAGAAAGACUGCAAUUGGGCAGUUGAAACGUUGUUCCUUGA